rnacentral:rRNA from 1 species
CUUGACGACCAUAGAACAUUGGAACCACCUGAUCCCAUCCCGAACUCAGCAGUGAAACGAAGUAUCGCCGAUGGUAGUGUGGGGUUUCCCCAUGUGAGAGUAGGUCAUCGUCAAGA